UCUUGCUGAUGAGCAAAGAAAGUGAUUUCUUGGGAUGGAAUCUACUCUUGGUGAAGAUGCUGUGAA
rnacentral:pre_miRNA from 1 species